CCGUGCACCAUCGCAGCACCACCAAGCACGAGGACGGUGCUGCCACUUUUCCCUGUAACAUUAUAUUCUACUCAUAGUGGUGCCACAGGAGCAGGCGCUGGGGCCAGAGAGGUGAAUUAUUCGUGCCCUGCUCUUUGCUUCAGUGGGUGUGACAAAGGGUGACGGGUGUGUGGCUUUGCAAACCCUGCCAGUAGCAGUGAUGCAGAUAUGCAGUUGUUCACCACCCUGAAUGACUACCAGCUCCCCCUGAAUUACGCGCAGGAAGGUCAGUGGGAGGUGUCGGACACAUGCAUCCUGCUCUGAGCAGAGCUGUUCCUGUAAAUCUUUCAUGGCAACAUCACUGGUCGACCCCUCAGGUGCCCCAAAGCAGCAGGAUGAUGGUGAGGAUCCACAAUGGACCUGAGCAAGGUGGUCCAAGAGCUGUCUGUGGAAGUGAUCCUGACUAACUUUCUGGGAACCUCUGGGGUUGUGGUGGCAUGCUCCCUGGUGCUGCUCUGGCAGAGGCAUGGAGCCAAGAAAACCUCAUCCAUCCCAUGUAACGACAAAACCAGGCCAGGGCUCUUCACUGGGGUGGGCUCGUGCUCAAGGAUGAGGCACUCACGGUGUCACUGGGGCUGUCCCACCAGGACUCAGCGCUCAUCGAUGCCCCGUCUCCUCAGCUGUGAGUUCUGCCUUCUCCUUCAGUGGAAGGGAAAGUGAGGUCCUUGUUUAAUUCUAUUAAUUAAUGUCCUGCAUCAGCUCUUUGUUUCCAUUGAGUCAUACUAAAGGAAUGCAAAAGCGAUGCGAAAAGGUGAUCACUUCCAGGCAGCUGGUGUUCUUGAAAAGACAAAACGGGGACAGUCUGACAAGUUAUUCAUAAGAAAUAAUUAUCUUUAAUAAGCCCUGAUCAAGUGUUUGUACCUGCCAAUGUGCAUCUGUGCUUGGGAAAUGAUCUGCUCAGAGCCUCCCUCCAGGAACAUGAGCCCUCAGUGCAGGGGCCAGGACCAGCUUCCAUCUCCUUCAGACAAAGUGAUCAGCCCCAUUCUUCUGUGGCAUGACCAGCUUUGAUUAGAAGCACCUGAAGCACUGCUUCGGUGCCUCUGACACCAUUUGUCUCUGAAUACACGGCACCGUGCUGCUUACAUCAGCUGCUGCUUGUGGUGGCAGACAAGUGCAUGUGUUUUCACAUCGGGCUUGAAGCAGGAACUUUUACAUAUGAGUUGUGUAAGAGGUGCAAGAAGACCAUUUCUACUUAAAACUGACAGGCAAAAAUAAAUUAUGCAUAUACUUCAUUCAAGUAAUUACAGACAUGAAAAUGUAGAUAUUUUUGUAUGGGAAGCACUAGUCAUAUGCCACCUUUUUAUUACUGAAUUUGUCAGUUAGCACUUUUACAUUUUUGCUGUGAUCUUAGUGAUAAAAAAAAUUUGCUACCAAAAAACUUGCCCAUCCCCUUAUACAACAACCGAACCAGAUGUGUCUCGUGUGCCAGACCAGCUCUGUGGGACAGCCGUGGGGCAGCUGGCGCCGGGAAGCUCAGCCUUCAGGCAGGAACCACCUUGGGCUCGUCCAGUUUGGGUCGACACAACUCUUCCCAGGUCUGCCCUUGACUGUUAGGGCUUCUUUAUUCUGAAUAAAUCAGAGUGAAAACAUGCAACAAUGUAAGCAAGGAACAAUCCAGUCCAAGUCCAUCAGAUUGCUAAAAUGCUCAGAGAUUUGUAUAUGUUUGCAUGUUUUUUUUUUUUCCAGAUGCAGUCCUGUGAUUUCAAAUUAUAAUGAGGUGACCUGAUUUUAAUUGAACUAACCUUUAUAGAUCAGUUGAUAGGCUUAAAUAUUUGCUUAUAUUAGCAGAGAGAAGGAAACCAAAGUCUUUUGCAUAGUUACAAUUGCCAAGGAAACCACUCUGCUGGUAUCCACAUUGGGCAUUUCAUCUGCUCCUGUGUGUGGCUGUUGGAAAACUGUCUGAUUAUAAAAAAAAUGCUUCCAGUCUGACUAGAUGUCUAGUCAAUGUCUGCGUAAUUUUCUAUCAGUUUAUCCAAGAGCUGCUGCUGUCCUGUGAAAAUUUGUGGAGUCGCAGGCUCUUGCUUCUAAAAAGGUAUGCAGCCAAAUGUGAAAUGUGACCCUUGAUGGGAAACUACGAAUUAAAAAUUGUCUGUAAUUAGAGUGUUUUCCAGACAUCUCAUAGUUUUUCCGAAACAACCUUUUAACUCUGUGAUUUAUUUUAGUCUUUACUUUAAACUAGGUCAGUCUUAAGAAUUUCUACUGCUUGAAACACGCUACCAAAUCAAACACAUUCUAACAAAGACUAAUUGGACUCCGUUUAAAAAUAAGCAUUAUGCCUGGAAAAGCAGUUUUCUGAAACUGAGCAAUGUGUUUAAAUGCGUAAUGACACAAAGCUGUACACAAUUUCUAACUCAGAAGUCCCCUGGGGAUUACACGCGCACUUUACUAAAGAGAUACCAAAAUUAAGCACUAAUCCAAGAGGCAACCUCGUUCAUGGUGCUCGUUUUGAGACCAGCCUGUCCCUCUUCAGGCGAGGGUGAUGGACAGAGCCUGGGCCGUGGGCGCAUACUGACGAAUGGUGCUCUGAUUUCAGUGCUCUUCACAGACACCUCAGUUUUCACUCCUCUGUCACCACGUGUGCUAAUGAGUUGUGCUUUGAAUCAACUUCUGAUCUGUGUUUUUUAACCCAGCUCGGAGCAGGCUGUCUGCGGGGCUUUGUGUUUGAGAGCCAGUAUAAUUAUUAC